UUAUGGCUCAGGAUGAACGCUGGCGGCGUGCUUAACACAUGCAAGUCGAACGGAGCCAAAGGAAGCUUGCUUCUUGAAGCUUAGUGGCGGACGGGUGAGUAACGCGUGAGCAACCUGCCCUUCAGUGGGGAAUAACACAGAGAAAUCUGUGCUAAUACCGCAUAACGUCUUCUUGCCGCAUGACAGGAAGACCAAAGGAUUUAUUCGCUGAAGGAUGGGCUCGCGUCCGAUUAGGCAGUUGGUGAGGUAACGGCUCACCAAACCAACGAUCGGUAGCCGAACUGAGAGGUUGAUCGGCCACAUUGGGACUGAGACACGGCCCAGACUCCUACGGGAGGCAGCAGUGGGGAAUAUUGGGCAAUGGGCGAAAAAGCCUGACCCAGCAACGCCGCGUGAAGGAAGACGGUCUUCGGAUUGUAAACUUCUUUGAUUGGGGAAGAACAAAAUGACCUACCCAAAGAACAAGUCACGGCUAACUACGUGCCAGCCGCGGC
rnacentral:rRNA from 1 species